UGGACAGUUUAAGUUUCCAAGUUGAAUCACUCGAUAAAACAAUUCAAGAAUAUUCAUCAUUCUUUUUUGAAACUUCAGAUGUGGCUUUUCAUAAAGAACAAAUACAUAUUAACUCUGAAAUAGAACGAAACAGAGAUGAAAGAAUUCGAAAGUCUAAAAAGAGGAAAGAAAAGAGUUUGAAAGGCAAUGACUCAGAGUAUGUUUUCCCUGGUUUCUCACACAAUGAUUUUACAACUUUACC
rnacentral:lncRNA from 1 species